GAUGAACGCUAGCGGCAGGCCUAAUACAUGCAAGUCGAACGAGAUUACGAGGCUUGCUUCUUAUUAAAGUGGCGCACGGGUGCGUAACGCGUAUGCAACCUACCUUAAUCAGGGGGAUAGCCCGAAGAAAGUCGGAUUAACAACGCAUAAAAACACAGGAUAACAUUAUCCAUUGUUCAAAUAUUUAUAGGAUUAUGACGGGCAUGCGUGGCAUUGUCUAGCUGGCGGGGUAACGGCACACCAAGGCGACGAUGACUAGGGGAUCUGAGAGGAUGACCCCCCACACUGGUACUGCGACACAGACCACACUCCUACGGGAGGCAGCAGUAAGGAAUAUUAGUCACUGGAGGGUACUCUGAACCAGCCAUGCCGCGUGCAGGAAGACAGCCCUCUGGGUCGUAAACUGCUUUUAUUCGGGAAUAAACCUUUCUACGUGUAGGAAGCUGAAUGUACCGAAGGAAUAAGGAUCGGCUAACUCCGUG
rnacentral:rRNA from 1 species